rnacentral:rRNA from 1 species
UACGUAGGUGGCAAGCGUUAUCCGGAUUUAUUGGGUGUAAAGGGCGUGUAGGCGGGAGCGCAAGUCAGAUGUGAAAACUCAGGGCUCAACCCUGAGCCUGCAUUUGAAACUGUGUUUCUUGAGUGCUGGAGAGGCAAUCGGAAUUCCGUGUGUAGCGGUGAAAUGCGUAGAUAUACGGAGGAACACCAGUGGCGAAGGCGGAUUGCUGGACAGUAACCGACGCUGAGGCGCGAAAGCGUGGGGAGCAAACAGG